rnacentral:rRNA from 1 species
AGCGAACGCUGGCGGCAGGCCUAACACAUGCAAGUCGAACGAACUCUUCGGAGUUAGUGGCGGACGGGUGAGUAACACGUGGGAACGUGCCUUUAGGUUCGGAAUAACUCAGGGAAACUUGUGCUAAUACCGAAUGUGCCCUUCGGGGGAAAGAUUUAUCGCCUUUAGAGCGGCCCGCGUCUGAUUAGCUAGUUGGUGAGGUAAAGGCUCACCAAGGCUACGAUCGGUAGCUGGUCUGGGAGGAUGACCAGCCACAUUGGGACUGAGACACGGCCCAAACUCCAACGGUGGGCAGCAGUGGGGAAUCUUGCGCAAUGAGCUAAGGCCUGACGCAGCCAUGCCGCGUAGAUGAUGAAGGUCUUAGGAUUGUAAAAUCCUUUCACCGGUGAAGUUAAUGACUGUAGCCGGAGAAGAAGCCCCGGCUAACUUCGUGCCAGCCGCCGCCGUAACAC